rnacentral:rRNA from 1 species
UACGUAGGGUGCAAGCGUUGUCCGGAAUUAUUGGGCGUAAAGAGCUCGUAGGCGGCUUGUCACGUCGGCUGUGAAAACCCGGGGCUCAACCCCGGGCCUGCAGUCGAUACGGGCAAGCUAGAGUUCGGCAGGGGAGACUGGAAUUCCUGGUGUAGCGGUGAAAUGCGCAGAUAUCAGGAGGAACACCGGUGGCGAAGGCGGUGGUCUGGGCCGGCACUGACGCUGAGACGCGAAAGCGUGGGGAGCAAACAGG